GUACAACUGAUUCACAUUGCAAGUGAUGAUCUUUACACAAUUUGUGAAACAUUUCAGAGCAAGAUUGAUUUAUUAGAGUAUAUGAUAAGAUCCAUAAAUAAGGUGGAAGUGAAUAUAUCUGCAGAAAAGCCCUUACCAACCAUUUCCAUAAGAAGUUGUGUUGCCUUUGAGGUAUAGCUGUUGCGAAGGAACCCCCGAAUCAUUACAUUAUAACAGCAGCUAAUAGGCAAACAGUUAUUAUCUCCCAUGCUCCCAAACAACCUGUAUGCUUCAACUGGCAAUCCCUCUUUACACAGUCCAUUAAUCAUUAUACGAUAUGUGACAACAUUCGGUUUUAAACCAUUGUCUGAGAGUUGAUGAAAUAAUUCCUUGGCAAAUUCGAUAUGCCCAGCUUUGCACAACCCAUCAAUUAGGAUAUUAUAUGGGACAAUAUCAAGUUCCAACCCACCGUUUCGCAUUGCUUGAAAAAGUUUCAAUGCCUCCUCAACAUGACCUGUUUUGCCUAAACCAUUCAGCAAAAUCAAACAGGUCGCUAUAUCUGGAACUUGUCCAGAAGCAAGCAUCUUUCUAAAAAGUUCAUAUGCAGUUGAAACUCUCCGUAACUGAAACAUACUUUGCAAGAGAGUGUUGUAUGUGACAAUAUUCGGGAUUGGUCCCUUUUGAGAUAUUUCAUGAAAGAGUUCCAUUGCUUCGUCUAACCUCUUAGCUUUGCAAUAUCCAUUGAUCAUGGUGUUGUAAGUAACUAUAUCAGGUGCACAACCCUUCUCAAUCAUCAAGUUGAAAACUCUUCUAGCUUUAUCCAUUUUGUUCUGCAAGCAAUGACCAUUAACUAAUGUAUUAUAGGUAACAACAUCAGGCUCGAUUUCUCGCUUUAUCAUUGCGUCAACAAUAUCCUCAGCUUCAGAGACCAACCCUUCCUUGCAAUGCGCAUCAACCAAUGUAUUAUACGUGACAACAUUAGGCUCAAUGCCUUGCUUUCUCAUCAUGUCAACGGUCUCUACAGCUUUAGAAAUCGUUCCUUCCUUGCAAAGAGCAUCAAUCAGUAAAUUAUAUGUGACAAUAUCAAGUGAAAUAUUGUUAUCAACAAUUUCAUUCAAAAGCCUUGUUGCCUCCUCCUGCUGGCCCAAAUUACACAUACCAUGAAUUAAGCAAUUGUAAGUAAAGAUAUCUGGUCUAAUGCCUUUAACCUUCAGUUCGGAGAAGAGAUCGAGAGCCUCCUGUAACAAACCGUUCUUACAAAGGCAGUCAAUGACGGUGCUAUAUGCUACAUUAUUGGGUUCAUAACCUCUGCUUUCCAUCAACCUUAGAAACCUAACAGCUCUACCAGUAUUACCGGUCUUACACAACCCCUUCAGCAUUGUACUGUAAACAAUCAAAUUAGGUUGAUACCCUUUUUCAGUCAUUUCAUCGAACAUACAAACGGCCUCAGAAAUCUUACUUUGACUACAAAGCCCAUUAAUAAAAGUUGAAAAAGUUACAGCACUAGGUUCAACACCUAACUUCAGCAAUUUCCCCAAAACAGAAAACCCAAAAUCAAUUCGACCUAAUUGACAAAAGCAAUUAAUCAAGAUGCUCAUAGAAUAACUAUCGUGGGAAACUCCCAAUUAUUCGAUCUGUCUAUACUUAGAAACAACAAUGGCAUAAUGUUUCAUCUUAACAAUGGCUCCUAAUAAUUUAGUGAAUUCCACAAUUGAAGGCUUUGGGUACUUUUCAAUCAUCUUAUUGAACAAACUCAAAGCAUGAUCAACAUUAUCGAAGCGGUGGUCUCUUUUUCCCUUUCCUCUAACAGGCAUGGACAUGGGUUUCUUACUUAGGCAUUCGAUGUGGGUAGCAAUGGUGUUAGAAGAAGAAGAAAAAGAGUGGAAAUUAGAAAGAUGGCUUCCAGCAUUAACAACCCAACGAAGAAUAAAAGAAGAAGGAAGCUUACCCAUACCUUGAAAGUAAGCAAAAUGAAAUCAGAAAUGGCAGCGGCAGUAGUAGAAGAAGUGUAAAUUUUGGGUUGCCAAGUGGUGUUUUUUAUUUUUUUAAUGUGAAUAAUAUUUAAUAAAAAAAUUAAACUUUAUUUUGAAAUGCAAUCUUCAAUUAUUAUUAAUAUUAUAAUAUACUUUUAUUAAAUUUAAAUUUAAAUUUUUAGACUAACAUGAAAAAAUAUACAAAGAUUACAAUACAAUUAAAACUAACUUGAAUUCCACACUUGGAGUUAAAAGAUCUGAGAAGUAUCAUUAGGCAAAUUUUCAAAGAGACUCAACACCAUUCCUAAAUUUCUUCCAAUCCUAGCCAAAGAGUUUGCAACUUUGUCAUGUAGUUAUAUUUAUUUUGUUCAACCUAUAGUUGUAAUUUGAAUUUAGUAGAACAAAAUAAUAUAAAUUUUACAUGGUGUUCAAUGAUGGUAUUGAUUGGUUAGCAAAAUCAGCUCUAUGUAGGAAACAUUAUGGUCUUGUGCGGCACUUCUAGCUGGUUUUGAUUUUGUAUAUGGUAUUUUAUCAUUCACAUGCAUCAAUCAAGAGGGAAAGAAGAAUUAUUUAAUGAGGUAUUCUUUUGGUAGUGAUUUCAUCAAAAGAAGGGGGCUGAGGAAACUUGGAGAGUUAGUAGAUUAAUUGGGAUGACAACUGAAGUGGAUGAUGAUUUAGUCAUGAAAAAGUUAGUAGACUUGAGGUGCGACUUCUCUCUUAUUUCUUAUUCUUGUUGAGGUGCUCUUUAUCUGCUACUAAAUCAAGUUGGUUUACUCAAAAGUGGUUUGGUGAAGAAAUUAGUGAUUAAUUCGAGACUUGAUCUUAUCAUAUUAACUUAAAACAAAACUAGCAAAGGUGGAAGAUGGGAUUGUUCAAAUGAUUUGGACGGAUUCUAAUCGUUGGUGUGAUUGUGGAACUCUUAAAGAUUGUUAUCCUAUGAUGUCUUUCCUUAAGAAUAGAGGCAUUUCGAUCUUGGAUGAACAUGUUGUUUGUCAUCGGUGCAAAGUGGAAUCUAAGGAUGUUAGUCACAUUUUGCUGAAAUGUGCCCGAGUUAACAAAUUUUGAGGUAUUUUAUCCUUUCUUUCGUUAUGCUUUGAUAAGUUUGGUGUCUAAACCUAUGUUUAAUUGGUGGUUGAUGUCUAUUAUGGUUGCCUUGUGGACCAUCUAGAGUGCAAGAAAUGAUUCUAUGUUUAGAGGAAAAGAUUUUAAUUUGGAGUACAUUUUUUUUCAUUGGAUAAAAGUCUUGCCAGAAUGUAUGAAUUUUGUUGAGUCAAUGUGGGGGGAGGGGGUGUCUGCGAGAUUGUGAAAGGAGUAUCCGUAGCCAUCAUACCAAGAUUGUGACGCGUUGGGAACCUUCAAAUGAAGGCUGGUUAAAGUUUAACGAUGAUGGUUCAACAUUAGGUAAAUUUGGCCCGACGGGGUGUGGAGUGGAUUUUAAAAAUUCGAAGGGUCAUGUCAUUGCUAUGUUUUAGGUCCCUAAGACGUCCAAGAUUCUAAUUUCGCUGAAAUUAUGACGAUUAAGUUAACUCUUCAUUUCUUCUUAGACUCCCAGUGGAUUAAAGACUAAAAGCUUAUGGUUGACUCCGACUCUAUAGUCGCGCUUACUUGGUGUAUCAAUGAGAAAUCUAGGCCUUUGAAAUAUUGGCACAUUUUUACAAUCAUUGAUGAGAUUAAAAUGUCCAUUCAUCUUAGAAAAACUGGGAGAGAUGCUAAUGGUAUGGCAGAUUCGUUGGCAAAAUUAGGGUGCUUUCAAUCUUAAAUGUUUUUUUGUAGAUGAGCAUCGUUGAGUUUAAUUGAGAUGAUAGUUUCAUUGUUAUUUCAUCGAAGAAGAUUCACCAAACCAAGCGAUUAUUAGACUAUCAAACAACAGUAUUUUGUGCCUAUUUGAACGUCAGUGCUGCCAUUUUAAGGUGUGCUGCAGUUGCAAUAAUCAUAACCAAUAAUUCUACAAAAAUAAUUAACUAAGUUUGAUUAAAGAUAAAUACUUUAUUUUACGAUAGUUUUGGUAAUUAAAUAAUGAAAUGAAUUUUUUUUUUCUGUUAUGAAAAUAUUUAUCGUUUAUCUGUUUCACUUGAAACAAUUUUCAAAAAAUGAGUUCAAGAAAACUUAUCAAAUACUGUAAAAUGUUUUACAUAAAACCAUUAGGAAAAUAUUACAUUUUUCCGAAAAGCAUACUAUUUUCCGGAAAUGAUUCUCCAGAAAAUGUUUUCAAUCAAACAAACAAACCCCGAAUUUGAUUGAAUUCCACACUUGGAGUUAAAAGUUCUGAGCAGCCGAAAAUUAUACUGAUGCUAUUGUCAUUGCUACAGAUAUUGGUUUUCCUAUAAGUUCUUACCAUUACCACCAACAAGAUUCUCACUUACAACACAAAGUCAGAACAAAAUCAACAAUAUUGAAAAUAGACACUAAAACUCAUUCUAGUUUCCACAAUCUUUUAUCACUGUACAAUGGUUAUGUACAAACUGAUUCACAUUUGCAAGUUAUGAUCUUUACACAAUUUGUGACACAUUUCAGAGCAAGAUUGAUUUAUUAGUGUAUAUGAUAAGAUCCAUAAAUAAGGUGGCAGUGAAUAUAUCUGCAGAAAAGCCCUUACCAACCAUUUCCGUAAGAAGUUGUGUUGCCUUUGAGGUAUAGCUGUUGCGAAGGAACCCCCGAAUCAUUACAUUAUAACAGCAGCUAUUAGGCAAACAGUCAUUAUCUCCCAUGCUCCCAAAUAACCUGUAUGCUUCAUCUGGCAAUCCCUCUUUACACAGUCUAUUAAUCAUUACACAAUAUGUGACAACAUUCGGUUUAAAACCAUUGUCUGAGAGUUGAUGAAAUAAUUCCUUGGCAACUUCGAUAUGCCCAGCUUUACAAAACCCAUCAAUUAGGAUAGUAUACGGGACAAUAUCAAGUUCCAACCCACUGUUUUGCAUUGCUUGAAAAAGUUUCAAUGCCUCUUUGAUAUGACCUGUUUUGCAUAAACCAUCCAGCAAAAUCAAACAGGUCGCUAUAUCUGGAACUUGUCCAGAAGCAAGCAUCUUUCUAAAAAGUUCACAUGCAGUUGAAACUUUCCCUAACUGAAACAUACUCUGCAUAAGAGUGUUGUAUGUGACAGUAUCCGGGAUUGGUCCCUUUCGAGAUAUUUCAUGAAAGAGUUCCACUGCUUCGUCUAACCUUUUACCUUUGCAAUAUCCAUUGAUCAUGGUGUUGUAAGUAACUAUACUAGGUGCACAAGCCUUCUCAAUCAUCAAGUUGAAAACUCUUCUAGCUUUAUCCGUUUCAUUCUGCAAGCAAUGACCAUUAACUAAUGCACUAUAGGUAACAACAUUAGGCUCAAUGCCUCGCUUUAUCAUUGCGUCAACAAUAUCCUCAGCUUCAGAGACCAUCCCUUCCUUGCAAUGCGCAUCAACCAAUGUACCAUACGUGACAACAUUAGGCUCAAUGCCUUGCUUUCUCAUCAUGUCAAUGGUCUCUACAGCUUUAGAAAUCAUUCCUUCCUUGCAAAGAGCGUCAACCAAUGUAUUAUACGUGACAAUAUCAAGUGAAAUAUUGUUAUCAACCAUUUCACUCAAAAGCCUUGUUGCCUCCUCCUGCUGGCCCAAAUUACACAUACCAUGAAUUAAGCAAGUGUAAGUAAAGAUAUCUGGUCUAAUGCCUUUAAUCUUCACUUCGGAGAAGAGAUCGAGAGCCUCCUGUAACAACCCGUUCUUACAAAGACAGUCAAGGAUGGUAUUAUAUGCUACAAUAUCGGGUUCAUAACCUCUGCUUUCCAUCAACCUUAGAAACCUAACAGCUCUACCAGUAUUACCGGUCUUACAUAACCCCUUAAGCAUUGUACUGUAAACAAUCGAAUCAGGUUGAUACCCUUUUUCAUUCAUUUCAUCGAACAUACAAACGGCCUCAGAAAUCUUACUUUGAUUACAAAGCCCAUUUAUCAAAGUUGAAAAAGUUACAACAUCAGGCUCAACACCUAACUUCAGCAUUUUCCCCAAAACAGAAAACCCAAAAUCAAUUCGGCCUAAUUGACAAAAGCAAUUUGUCAAGAUGUUCAUAGAAUAAACAUUAUGGGAAACACCUAAUAAUUCCAUCUGGCUACACAUAGGAACAACAAUGGCAUAAUGUUUCAUUCUAACAAUGGCUGCAAAUAAUUUAGUGAAUUCCACAAUUGAAGGCUUUGGGUACUUUUCAAUCAUCUUAUUGAACAAACUCAAAGCAUGAUCGACAUUAUCGAAGCGGUGGUCUCUUUUUCCCUUUCCUCUAACAGGCAUGGACAUGGGUUUCUUACUUAGGCAUUCGAUGUGGGUAGCAAUAGUGGUAGAAGAAGAAGAAGAAAAAUAGUGGAAAUUAGAAAGAAGGCUUCCAGCAUUAACAACGGAACGAAGAAUAAAAGAAGAAGGAAGCUUACCCAUAUCUUGAAAGCAGAAAUGGCAGCGGCAGUAGCAGAAGAAGUGUAAAUUUUGGGUUGCGAAGUGGUGUUUAGGGAAAGGGCUGGGAGCGUAAUUUGGGUUUUUUUAUUUUAUAUUUUUAAUGUGAAUAAUAUUUAAUAAAAAAAUUAAACUUUAUUUUGAAAUGCAAUCUUCGAUUAUUAUUAACUUAUAAAUCUGCCUUUUAAAUGUAAUAAAAUUACUAUUACUUUUAAAUGGUAUUAACUUCAAAAGAUUUUUAGACUAACUUUAAUAAAAUUUAAAUUUAAAAUUUUAGACUAAGUUGAAAAAAUAUACUAAGAUUACAAUACAAUUAAAACUUAAAUUUAUAAAAUACUCUAUUUUUAUAAUUUAUAUUUUAUCGAUGCGAGCGAGCAAAACUUGAUUUGAUUAAAACAAAUAAAAAUUAAAAAUCAAAUUUUGAGUUUAUCGAAUCGAGUUAUUCAAUUUUUUCGAUUCAGCUAGAAUAAGUAAUUCGAGUUUCGAUUUUAAAUCGAUACGAAUUCCAUAUUUCUGUAUUGGUAGAUUUAUCGCUUAGUGAUCAUUACCUGGUUGAGUUUGCAACCAAUCCACUACUUUGGCGAGUUUUAAACAUUUCAUCAUUCUUGCGGAUACUUACUUUUCUUUGCACAUAUUUCCUUAUUUCCUUUUUCCACACAUCCUUGAUUAUUAACAACCAUUUAACUCAUAAUAGUCCAGGCGCAUAUACUGACGUUCCUCUCGUAAGGCCACUAGCGAAGGCCCAUGCCUCACAAGCAGACUUAGGCUUAGUUUGGAUGGGCAGUGUGUUUAGCUCCGGUGAGGUUAAAAACAGCGGUGGCGGUGAGAUUAGUUACUAUAGCGGUGAGAUUAGGUAUUGUAGCAGUGAGAUUAGAAAUAGCGGUGAAGUAUGUGUUUGGAUUUAAACGCAGUUGUAACGGUGAGGUGAGAAUAAAAAAUAACUAUUAAGGACAUCAUAUUAGAAUUGAUAUAUAAUAAAAAAAUUUUAAAUUAUUUUACUUUUUUAAAUUAUUAAAAUAUGUGAAUUUAUUAAUUUAUUUAAUAAAAUAUUAAAAUAUAAAUUUAUAAUAAAAUGUUUUUUCCUUUAGCCAUCAACGUUUUCUAUUUUUUCCAUCAAAGUUUUUUUUUUACUUUUCUUUAUUCAAUUUAUUAAUAAAUGAAAAGGGGUAAAAAAGGAAUGACAACUGCGUUUGGAGUUUUGAAUUUUCAAUUGGCCAGAAAUAGAGCAGUGGAAAUUUUGGGGUGUGGUGCGAUGAACUCCCUUCCACUGCACUGAAAGUUGGCCAUCCAAAGAGCUUCAAAGCAGCAGUUGCACAGAAAUCAAUAGAAAACGCACUGAACUGAUACAAAAUUUGGAUCCAAAGGAGGCCUUAGUCUUAUUUAACUCAGCAAACUCAGCAGCUCCAAUUACCCCCAUUAACCCCAUCGCCAAGCAGACUUAGUCUUAUUUAACUCAGCAAACACAACAGCUCCAAUGACCCCCAUUAAUCCCAUCGCCCUUGAGCUUCCUUCAAGCCAAACUCUAACCCAGUUGUCUGCUUCUACCUAUUGUACCUCUCUUCCAACCUUCAGUGUUGUUCUCUCGACCUCGUGCACUAUUUUCUUAACCUUUUCUAUCUCUCCCACAGUCUGUUGCAUCACUCUCUUAGCAUAUUCCACCACUCUUCUAGUUGCUUCCAUCACUCCCUCAAUUGUCAACCCAUAGUCCUGGCCUAUUUGUGCCACUUCAGCUUCAACCAACCCCUGGUGUCUCUUCCUCUAACACUAAGGAGCUCCUCUUGCAAUACCUAUGGCAUGCUCUCUCCUCCUGUCUCUUCACUCCACCUUCAAAGGUGGCUACUACGAUCAUCCCAGUGGAUCAAGCCUCUUACCAACAACCUUCUUACUCUCAACACCAAGUCAUUAGGAUGCAAGAGAAAAUGUGACACAAAUAAUUAUACUUAUUCGAUUUUAAAUAUAUAUAUUCAUUUAUUUAAAUGUGUACAAUUGAAUCAAAAUAAAAGUUCUAUGUAUGCAUUUGAACCAAAUCAAACUUCAUGUAUCAAAUUACACAUUGAAACAAAGUCCAUAUAUAAUUUUGAUAUUUAUCCCUAACUGCAUAUAAUAUGAUUUGAACAUAACCAUAAACAUUAAAGCUUUACUUUGACAAUUUCGAUCAUAAUCACAUUUAAUAUUUUUUAAAAUAUUUUUUUAUAAAUAUAUUUUAUACAUAAAAAAAAUUCACCCAAAAGUGUGUAAUAAUUUAGUAUAAUAUAUAUUUAUGUAUAUAUACAUUGAUAUCUUUAAGCAACUCUGUAGGGACUUGGAAGUGACCACGUAAACAUACGCCUUAGAAGGCCGCAAAAUUAUUAUAUUAUUUUACUUUGUUUAUUUUACUUUUUGGUCCUUCAACUAUGUAUGGAUCAGAUCGAAAUUCCAUAGCAUAUUCUAUAAAAUUCGAGGUUGAAUAAUAUUUUAAAAUUAGUAGAAUUAAAUGAGAAUUAAAUUGUUUUUACUUAUAUUCCCAAUAAAUUAGUUUAAAAAAUUCAUCCAUUAUUGUUUUUAUUAUAUAUUUUUUGAAAAUUGAAAGAGCUUUAUAAGAUUCCCAGUUGUGUCAUCUUAAUGCAUCCAACUCACGUGAUGAUAUGAUUUUGUUUAAUUUGACAAAAUUAGAAAAGAGUGAGGUUGGUUUUAUCAAUAAAGAUGUUUAUUUUUAACUUUAAUCCAGUUUGGGUUUUGUUCGGAUUGACCAGUAAGAUCAUUUUAUUUUUUGAAAUAAAACUUUAUCCAAUCUAAUAUUUAUAUAUCAACUCAGUUAUGAAACUACAGAUGAUAUCUAUUUUUUAAAAUUAUAAUUGAUAUUACUAUGACGAUACUUUUAUCCUUUCAUAAUUUUAUAUCAUCUUCAAACAGAAACAAUUAUAAAUUACAAAUCUAAGAAUUAAACACGCACUGAAUAGUAUUAAAAUGUAAAUUUAUUAUCACUUUGCCUAUAUUCAUCAUUGAAUAAACAAUAAUCCGGGUUGAUUAGGCAUGGGUCAAAAUUAAACAUUUUUAGGUUCAGUGAUUGGUUCGGAUAGCGGCCCAAACCUAGCUCUUGGUUAAAUUAACAUUUUUUAUACUCAAUUAGACAUCACAAGUUGAUUGAUACAUUAUGAAAAUAAAGGGGUCUUAGUGAUAUUUUUUUUAUAUAUUUGAAUUCCAAUCAUCACUUUUUUGGUGGGUUUUGAUUAAUUAGUCCAAAACACAUUCUCAGAAUAAUAAGCUUAUUUGUGUCCAGUGAAAAUAGUAUAAUAAUUAUUGGGCACCAACUAGGGGCGAAGCUAGAAAAUUUUUUGGGGGGGACCGAAAUGAAAUUUUAAUUUUUAAUAGUCUAUAUCUUAUCAUUUUUAAAGAAUUAAUUUAAAUUUUCAUAAUUUUAGAGGGCGCCAAAGUGCAAUUUUACAUUUACUAAUUUAAAAUUUUAAAAUUUUUUGAAGUGCCAAAACAACAAAUUUCCAUUUUAGGGGGGCCGCGGCCCUUGCCAGCCCCCUGGAUUCGCCUCUAGCACCAACAGAGUUAAGGAAAUUACAGAAAUAUUUUUUUAUAAUUAAAAUAAGUUAUAUUAUUCGAAUGUAUUUUAGUCUUUUUAUUUUAAUAAAAAUCAAUAAAAAUAUGUAUAUGGUGGGAUUUGAAUCCACAUCAAUUAAAUUGGUAAAAUCUUAUAUUUACUACUCAACCAAAGAUUCAUUUUAAUAUAUUUUGUACAUUUUUAUUUUAAUAUGCACAAUUUAUUAUUUUCUUCAAUUGUAGUAUCGUACAUAUUUCAUAUGUUAUUAUCACUAAUUAGAUUCAAAUAUUAUGUUUCAUUGUUUUUGUAACUUAUUUUUAAAUGUAUACAUGUUAUCUAAAUUCAUGGUUUUCACACGCAUAUGCAUGUGUUAGUGUUUCUCGUAUUAAUUAUUCAUGUGUUUGUAUUAGAGUUGUGAAGAGAACAUGAAAAACUUAGUCAGUAAAAACAUUUUUUUACAUACAACAUGAAAAUAAUACGAAUACAAAAAUAUGUUCAAAUAUAAGUAAAACAAAUUGUUAGCAUAUAAAAAUUAUUUAAAGAAUAGACAACCGUUCAAUUUCCGGUUCAAUCGGUUUUUAAUUUGACUUUAUUGUUGGUUCAAUUGAUUUAUAGAUCAACUGGUCCAUCCUUUAUAAGAUUGAUUAAUUUUCUAUCCAAUCAGUUUGAUCAAAAUUUGAAAACAUGUGUAAAUACCUUUGGAUGGGAUGAAUAUUAUUUUAUUGAAAAUAUUGUUGAAUUUUUUAAUAUAUAUAUUUAUAGAAAAAAUAUAUUGAAUUUUAAGUUUUCAUCCAUGAGAUUAAUAGGAAGUUUUGUCGUAAUUGGUUGAUUAAAUUUAUCUUAAUUGAUUAUUUUUUGAAUAAUCUCAUUAUAAGUUAUGAUUAUAUCUCAUUAUCUUAAUUGAUUAGUUUUAUCUAGAAUUACCCAUAACCUCUCUUCAACCCAUAAAUAAGAGAAUAAUGCACUUCAGCACACUUGAACCCACGUCCUCCUGUAUUAACAAUAAUGAGCAUGCUAAUAAAACUAAGAGUAGGUUUGGAUGAGUGGUGCAUUCACCUAUGAUUACUGUAAAAAUAGCGAUAGCGAUGAGAUUAGAUAUUGUAUCACGAUUAAAUAUUAGAUUGAACUCGUAUUUUUAAAAAUUAAGACAACAAAUGUUUAACAAGAUACUAAUUUUGGGCGCCGCGAGGGUACUAAUAGCUAUCUCGUGCGUAACCAACUCCCAGACUCUAAUUUUCUCUAGAUUUCGACGCAAACUUAAAAUUAAAUCUUUUUUAAAGAAAAUAAAAAAAAGUUUUCUUUUAAAAAGAGAAUUUAUUAGGUGUUCAAUCACAUCUAAAAAAAAGAUAUCGGUGACGACUCCUCUUUUAAAAAAAAAUAAAAUAGAGACUCCGUUUUUAAAUUUUCAAUAAUCGCCUCGACUAGCACCAAUGUAAAUUUUAGGUCCCUACAAAAACCAAGAUGUUUUUUUUAGUGGGAUCAAAGCAAAUAUCAAAUCCUAACCCUAGGUAAUAACUAUGAAGAAAGAAAGAGAAGAAAAGGAAAAAUAUUAGAAGAUUAAAGAAAAGAAGUGAUGUGGUUUAUUUUAUUUUGAUAGAUAAAAUUAGUAAAGGAAACUAAAUAUUUCUAAUAAUCAUUUCACCAAAUAUUUAAUAAAAUUUCUAAUAAAUAUUUUUACUAAAUGACUUAAAAAAUAUAAAUAAAAAUUUAUAUAAACAUUCAACCCUUUAUUACUCAACACACGUAGAUCAAUGCCAUUAAAUCACCUUAAUAUUUAUUUCAAUUCCUUUUAUUCUCAACUCAUGUUUAGUUGUUCGUACAAAUGCCCCUGCUUUAACAUUCGCAAGCAAUAUUGGUUUUCCCCUAAUUUCUUAACAUCACCACCAAAAAGAUCAAGAAGUUGCUAAGAUCAAGAUCAACAAGCUACACAAGUCAGAUCAAAAUCAACAAUAUUGAAAAUAGACACUAAAACUCAUUCUAGUUUCCACAAUCUUUUAUCACUCUGCAAUGGUUAUGUACAACUGAUUCACAUUGCAAGUGAUGAUCUUUACACAAUUUGUGAAAAUUUUCAGAGCAAGAUUGAUUUGUUUGAGUAUAUGAUAAGUUCCAUAAAUAAGGUGGCAGUGAAUAUAUCUGCAGAAAAGCCCUUACCAACCAUUUCCGUAAGAAGUUGUGUUGCCUUUGAGGUAUAGCUGUUGCGAAGGAACCCCCGAAUCAUUACAUUAUAACAGCAGCUAUUAGGCAAACAGUCAUUAUCUCCCAUGCUCCCAAACAACCUAUAUGCUUCAUCUGGCAAUC
rnacentral:lncRNA from 1 species